rnacentral:rRNA from 1 species
CUCCUACGGGAGGUAGCAGUGGGGAAUCUUGCGCAAUGGGCGAAAGCCUGACGCAGCAACGCCGCGUGAGGGAUGAAGGUCUUCGGGUUGUAAACCUCUUUCAAGCAGGGACGAUAAUGACGGUACCUGCAGAAGAAGCUCCGGCCAACUACGUGUCAGCAGCCGCGGUAAUUC